CAGUUAACUGCUCCUUGGGGAUUCUUGCUUUUACCAGUUCAUACAGCACAUGGGCAAAUUUGAACUCCUAAAGGGUGUGUUAACUGAGCCCCAGUGCGGAAGCAGAUCAACGUGUCUUCUCGUUCAUGCCCCAGCCCUCAGGAUCUCUAACAUGAUAUGGGAAGGGAGAAGAGCUGUGAAGGUGUGGAGAUUGCUCGAGAUCAUCCCAUGAGGAUCCUUACAAGUAAAAGGGGAACGCAAGAGAAUUAGGAUCACCAUGUUUUAAUAUGACUGGUCACUGAGAUUUUGGAGAUGGGAGCUCACAGACCAAGAAAUAUGGAGGGUCUGGAGUUAGAAACUGGAAGUCAUCCUUAGCUAUUAGACCCUUUCCGGAUACCCUGGCUGUCUUGAGAGUAAGCCUGUCAGUCCAGCCUUCGGAAGGAUCACCUUCGUGUCAGCACCAGCCAUUUUAACAACCAUGGAUGCCUCGAGGAAGCUAUCCGACAACCAUAGCUGCUUGCUGCUCAAGCACAAAUCCAUCACCUCAAGGGGCCUGAGAUGAUAACGUGGAGAAGGAGGAAGAGGAAGGUAUCAGUGCAGCAUCAGAGGCAGUGCCAGCUGCAUCUCUGUAUGGUGACAGGUGGCAGUGAUGGCAGGAAGCCACGCAGUAGCUCUAGAUGCUAGAGCAGUGGUUCUCAGCCUUCCUAAUGCUGGGACCCUUUAAUACAGUUUCUCAUGUUGUGCUGACCCCCCAA